GUGCUUGCUUGGGCAGCACAUAUACUAAAACUGGAAUGAUAGAGAAGAUUAGCACGGCCCCUGUGCAAGCCUGACACACAAAUCUGUGAAGCAUUCCAUAUUUUU
rnacentral:snRNA from 1 species